GGCAAUAAAGCUUAGUGACUAAGGGCAGGGCUCUGGCGUGAUUCUGUGGGUUCAAAUCCCACUUUUGUCA
rnacentral:tRNA from 1 species